AUAGCGUAUAUUAAAGUUGUUGCAGUUAAAAAGCUCGUAGUUGAACUUCAGACCUGGCCGGACGGUCUGCCUAACGGUAUGUACUGUCUGGCUGGGCCUUACCUCUUGGUGAGCCGGCAUGCCCUUCACUGGGUGUGUCGGGGAACCAGGACUUUUACCUUGAGAAAAUUAGAGUGCUCAAAGCAGGCCUGUGCUUGAAUACAUUAGCAUGGAAUAAUAAAAUAGGACGUGCGGUUCUAUUUUGUUGGUUUCUAGAGUCGCCGUAAUGAUUAAUAGGGACAGUCGGGGGCAUUAGUAUUCGGUCGCUAGAGGUGAAAUUCUUGGAUUGAC
rnacentral:rRNA from 1 species